AUUGAACGCUGGCGGCAGGCCUAACACAUGCAAGUCGAGCGGUAACACAGAGGAGCUUGCUCCUUGGGUGACGAGCGGCGGACGGGUGAGUAAUGCCUGGGGAUCUGCCCGAUAGAGGGGGAUAACUACGGGAAACUGUAGCUAAUACCGCAUAAUGUCUACGGACCAAAGUGGGGGCUCUUCGGACCUCAUGCUAUCGGAUGAACCCAGGUGGGAUUAGCUAGUUGGUGAGGUAAUGGCUCACCAAGGCGACGAUCUCUAACUGGUUUGAGAGAAUGACCAGUCACACUGGAACUGAGACACGGUCCAGACUCCUACGGGAGGCAGCAGUGGGGAAUAUUGCACAAUGGGCGCAAGCCUGAUGCAGCCAUGCCGCGUGUGUGAAGAAGGCCUUCGGGUUGUAAAGCACUUUCAGCGGGGAGGAAGGGUUACUAGCUAAUACCUAGUAGCAUUGACGUUACUCGCAGAAGAAGCACCGGCUAACUCCGUGCCAGCAGCCGCGGUAAUACGGAGGGUGCAAGCGUUAAUCGGAAUUACUGGGCGUAAAGCGCACGCAGGCGGUUUGUUAAGUCANAUGUGAAAUCCCCGAGCUCAACUUGGGAACUGCAUUUGAAACUGGCAAGCUAGAGUCUUGUAGAGGGGGGUAGAAUUCCNGGUGUAGCGGUGAAAUGCGUA
rnacentral:rRNA from 1 species